rnacentral:rRNA from 1 species
GUAGUAUAGAGGACUACCAUGGUGGUAACGGGUAACGGAGAAUCAGGGUUUGAUUCCGGAGAAGGAGCCUGAGAAACGGCUACUACUUCCAAGGAAGGCAGCAGGCGCGCAAAUUACCCAAUCCCGACACGGGGAGGUAGUGACAAAAAAUAACAAUACCGAUCUAAAUACUAGUUUGGUAAUUGGAAUGAGUACAAUCUAAAACCUUUAACGAGUAUCAAUUGGAGGGCAAGUCUGGUGCCAGCAGCCGCGGUAAUUCCAGCUCCAAUAGCAUAUAUUAAAGUUGUUGCAGUUAAAAAGCUCGUAGUUGGAUUUUGAAGUUUAUAUAUUUUAACCCAUUUUUGUAAAUGUGUAUGUUGAAAUAUAUACUUCUCCUUACUAGUUUUUCAUUAUGUUUCUUUAUUGAUUCAUAAUUUCAUUUCUUUCGGGAAGUGAGUGAUAGUUAGACCUAUUGGAUUGAAGAUGUGGAUAAUCCUUUUUGGUUUGUUCUGCUUUGAUUCAAUAACUAAUUAUUAGAAUACUAGUUCUUUUACUUUGAGUAAAUUAGAGUGUUCAAGGCAAGCAUAAUUUUAAUGUUGCAAUGAAUACUAUUAGCAUGGGAUAAUGGAACAGGACACGUAUUCUAGUUUUCCGUUGGUUUCUAGAAUUUUUUGGUUCCUCUUUUUUGAGGAGCCGUAGUGUAAUGAUUAAAAGGGACAGUUGGGGGCAUUCGUAUUUCGAUGUCAGAGGUGAAAUUCUUGGAUUUUCGAAAGACGAACUUCUGCGAAAGCAUUUGUCAAAGAUGUUUUCAUUAAUCAAGAACGAAAGUUAGGGGAUCGAAGACGAUCAGAUACCGUCGUAGUCUUAACCAUAAACUAUGCCGACCAGGGAUUGGAAGAUGUAUUAUCCUAUGUAACAGUAGGAAAACUCCUUCAGUACCUUACGAGAAAUCAUAAGUCUUUGGGUUCUGGGGGGAGUAUGGUCGCAAGGCUGAAACUUAAAGGAAUUGACGGAAGGGCACCACCAGGAGUGGAGCCUGCGGCUUAAUUUGACUCAACACGGGAAAACUUACCAGGUCCAGACACAGUUAGGAUUGACAGAUUGAGAGCUCUUUCUUGAUUCUGUGGGUGGUGGUGCAUGGCCGUUCUUAGUUGGUGGAGUGAUUUGUCUGGUUAAUUCCGAUAACGAACGAGACCUCAGCCUGCUAAUUAGUUGUGCAAAUGAUAACAUUCCAUUUGGAAGGGGGUUUCUUUGUUAGCUUGGAGUUUGACUCUGAGAUUUUAAAGAAAAACUCGUUUUCAUUUGUUAGGAAUUUGAUGGCUUACGCUUGACGAUUCCGAUAAUGACUUCUUAGAGGGACACUUGGUGUUUAACCAAGGGAAGUUUGAGGCAAUAACAGGUCUGUG